rnacentral:lncRNA from 1 species
UGAUCUCACAUUAAUUACUACACAAAUAUACUCAUUGUGGGUACCAGGCUUAUAGGAUGAAGUCCUCUUCACACAUGUUCACAAUAAAAACACAUUUUUCCACUCCCUUCCCCUGACCCUAAGUGCGGGGGUUGGGGGGUGGGGACAGGGAGGGACAGAUGAACAUUUUUUCAAGGCAAAUUUCGUUUGUUCUUUCCCGCCUUUUAUUAAAGAGACCCUUAAACCGGGCAUUCCUGGCGUCUAACGGCUUCCCUUACUUUUGCUUUUAUGUCCUAGGAGAGGCAGAUUAGAUUAGAUUAAAGACCAGGAGUCACCUCAUGAAAUCCAUCCCAUCUAGAAGCCAUUUGGCUGAUAGGGCCAAGGGGUUGGGGGUAGGGAGGUGGAGGGUGGUCUGUUGUUGGUCUGCCUGUCUGUUUCUCGGCGGCUUACUGGUGGUCUCUUAGCAAACACCUUGUUCUGGUUGCCUUUGUCCCCUCUCCCCACUUCAGAAGUUUAUAUCUAGCCUUUUGGGGCCUAAAAUGUGGCUCAGUGGGUAUGGGGUGCUUGCAGCUAAGCCUGAUGAUGGGAGUUCAACCCCUGAGACCCACAGGGUGGAAGGGGAGACCUGGCUUCUCUAAGUUGGCCUCUGUUUUCCAUUUGCUGUGUGCCAUGGCAUUGCGUGAGCAACAUCCCCUACCACAAUAGAAAAACAAAUAAUUAAAAAAAAAGAACAGGUUUAUAGCCUUUGAUUGUGGUCUGAAUUUAUGUUCAGUGACAUGUUUUAGUGUUUUAGAGGGACCCAAGUCUUCUGUUUUAGCCUCUUAACAGUUCCUCCAAGUCUCACCGCCUGCACCUCCCCCCCCCCCCCCCCGCGCCAAAGAAGGCAAACUAUAGAUGGAAAAAGACAUCUCUUUCUGUGCCAUCACUGCCCCCUUCCCCUAGGUUAUUCUGAUGAUGUCAUGGCGGUAACCAAGGCGACAUACUGUGACAUCACACCUCAAAGAGUACCCCUGACCUUGGCCUGGAAUUCAAAGGAAAAUCAGCCCAUAAACUUCUAAAGCUAGCAGGAGAUAAAUAUCCUUAGUCAUAAAAGAACAAACGAUGUUUGGGGUGAGGGGCCUGGGGGGAAGCAUACUGUAAAAGUCUGUGCCAGAUUUUCCAGGAAGUGCCAGCGGCCAUUAAAUCAGAAAGGGAGAGAGCAAAGGGGCCAGAGAGCUUGCCCACGAUCUGAUCCUAGCACCGAUCUUAGCACCUACUAGGUGAGGGGGCUCUCUCCGGAAACCCCGUAAUCUUUAAAAUGGGAACAGAGGGGUAAAUCUAAGCUAAGCAAAGCACAAGUCAGCAGCUCUUCUUGGACUGAGCGGGGAUCAAAGCAGGAGAGAGGGAGAGCUCACUAUGCUACCCGCUCUCCCACGUGCUCACAGAAUGGGAAAAGCGUUCAAUGCCAGGCUGGGCCCAGGAACAGAGAGACGGUGACGCACACGCACAUAAAUUCUGGAGUCUGGCUAAGGAAAGGGUGUGACGAUGUUGGCUUCUUUGGGUUUUUGCCUUUUCCCUCCUUUGACAGUGUUUUACUAUAUAGACUCAAGGGGAUCCACGGCCUCUGCUAUGGUUUCGGGUGGGCGACACUACAUGGGACGGACUGCUGCUUUGUUUUAGGGUCUCAGUGUUGCACAGGCUGGCCUUGAACUUCUGGCAAUCUUUCUGCUUCGAUCUCCCAAGUGCUGGGGUUACAGAUGUGAGCGGCCAAACCUUGAAUGGCUUCCUAGUGAUUUUGUAUGACAUUAGGGGACCCUGAGCACAGAUGUCCAAGGCCCCUCUGCCGUGAUAAUGAGGCUUUUCUGCCAAUCUAAAAUUAUUGUGGAAGCUGAAGUGGGAAAAUGUCAAGUUCAAGGGCGGCCUUGGGAUAUUUGGAGAGAAAAAAAAAGGUUUUGCUUUGUUUUGUUUUCUUGAUGUAGGUAGCACAUGUCUGGCAGGUUCAAGUUCUAGUUCAGGGUAAAAGAAAAUCAUUAAGAAGAUUGACUAUCUCAGGAGUUCUAGGCCAGUCUGGGUAACGUAGAUCAUGUCUCUUAUGAACAAUCUAUAUCUAUCUAUCUAUCUAUCUAUCUAUCUAUCUAUCUAUCUAUCUAUCUAUCUAUAGGACAAACAUGGUGGCGUGCAUGCCUUUAAUCUCAUCACUUGGGAGGCAGAGCCAGAGCUAGCCUGGUUUACGUAGCGAGUUCAAAUACAGCCAGGGUUACACAGUGAAAACCUGUCUUAAAAAUAAAAAAAAGGUGAGUUGAGUGUGGUAGCUCAAAGAGACAGGAGGACUGGGACAAACUCAAAGCUAGCCUAGUCUACAUAGUGAGUUCCAGGUUAGCCAGGCCUAGAUAGCAAGACUGGGUCUCAAACAAUU